CUGGAGGUAUCAGAAGUGCGAAUGCUGACAUAAGUAACGAUAAAGCGGGUGAAAAGCCCGCUCGCCGGAAGACCAAGGGUUCCUGUCCAACGUUAAUCGGGGCAGGGUGAGUCGACCCCUAAGGCGAGGCCGAAAGGCGUAGUCGAUGGGAAACAGGUUAAUAUUCCUGUACUUGGUGUUACUGCGAAGGGGGGACGGAGAAGGCUAUGUUGGCCGGGCGACGGUUGUCCCGGUUUAAGCGUGUAGGCUGGUUUUCCAGGCAAAUCCGGAAAAUCAAGGCUGAGGCGUGAUGACGAGGCACUACGGUGCUGAAGCAACAAAUGCCCUGCUUCCAGGAAAAGCCUCUAAGCAUCAGGUAACAUCAAAUCGUACCCCAAACCGACACAGGUGGUCAGGUAGAGAAUACCAAGGCGCUUGAGAGAACUCGGGUGAAGGAACUAGGCAAAAUGGUGCCGUAACUUCGGGAGAAGGCACGCUGAUAUGUAGGUGAAGUCCCUCGCGGAUGGAGCUGAAAUCAGUCGAAGAUACCAGCUGGCUGCAACUGUUUAUUAAAAACACAGCACUGUGCAAACACGAAAGUGGACGUAUACGGUGUGACGCCUGCCCGGUGCCGGAAGGUUAAUUGAUGGGGUUAGCCGCAAGGCGAAGCUCUUGAUCGAAGCCCCG
rnacentral:rRNA from 1 species